AUUGAACGCUGGCGGAAUGCUUUACACAUGCAAGUCGAACGGUAGAGGGGGGCAACCCCCUUGAGAGUGGCGAACGGGUGAGUAAUAUAUCGGAACGUGCCCAGUCGUGGGGAUAACGUAGCGAAAGUUACGCUAAUACCGCAUACGAUCUAAGGAUGAAAGCGGGGGAUCGCAAGACCUCGCGCGAUUGGAGCGGCCGAUAUCAGAUUAGGUAGUUGGUGGGGUAAAGGCUCACCAAGCCAACGAUCUGUAGCUGGUCUGAGAGGACGACCAGCCACACUGGAACUGAGACACGGUCCAGACUCCUACGGGAGGCAGCAGUGGGGAAUUUUGGACAAUGGACGCAAGUCUGAUCCAGCCAUUCCGCGUGCAGGAUGAAGGCCCUCGGGUUGUAAACUGCUUUUGUACGGAACGAAAAGGUUUCUCUUAAUACGAGGAGCUCAUGACGGUACCGUAAGAAUAAGCACCGGCUAACUACGUGCCAGCAGCCGC
rnacentral:rRNA from 1 species